CAGUCAGGCUAACACUGUCAGUAGGCUUUAGGCUUGAAUAAUUGAAAAAAAAAAUUGUAGGAACAUGUUAAUUUGGUAAGUGACCAGUGGAAGAAAAGCAUGCAUGUGGGAUUGGUUUUCUAAACCACCAUUUGUCCAAAGAUCUAUCUAAGCAGUUCUGAGGUCAGCUUUCUUUUGUGACUUUCCUAACACAGCUAGCUUAUGCAUGCAGAUGGCAUAAAUAAGUUAAUGUCUCAGGUAGGCAGCCUCUAUAGAGGUUAGGGACAGAAAACAUUACCAAGGUCAAGCUUUGGAAAGGAAAAUUAACCCUUGGCUACUGACAAAAAGGCUUGAUUGUUUUAUUAGAGGAAGCUGAGUAUAAGAGGACUGGGAAGAGAAGUGGCCAUUGAACUUGACCUGAGAAGAAACAGACUACCAAAUCCAGAGAAAGUGCCAAGACUUGAUGUACAGAAACAGGAGUGCACAGCAUAUUUCACCAUGAGGCUUUGAUUAUGACAUUCUACAGUUCUUUGUCAAACGUCCCAGGGUCUUUUCUGGAAGGAAUGUGGACACAGUCAAGAGCCUAGCAAGCCAACCUGUGUGAGGCAGAAUGCAAAGGAAAGCAGAACCUUGAAGCUGAAGGCAGCUGGGCUCUCACAACUUAGGACUGCCAGACCAGCCCUGACCUGUGAACCUCUGCAUUGUCAUUGUUGUUGCUGAGUAGAAUUUUAUGUAAUUAAGCUCCUGCUUAUUUGGAAUUUCUGUAUAUGCAGUUAAACCUAAUCCUAACCAAUAGUGACCUAAAUAACCCUAAAAUUGUUACAUACUUUACAUACUUGUUGUGGAUUCUAUGGCUCUAGAGCAUUUUCUGAGUGCUCUGGUAUAGCAUGAGUCUCUUUUAGUAGAUUAUACUACAUUUUUCCUGGCUAAAUGGAUAAAUGUUAAAAUAAUCCAUCACCAUAUUUUGUCAUAUUCAUGUCCACUAUGUACAGUAAUUCCAAUGUCUCUUUUCCUAAUUUGACAAAAUUAUUUUAUUUUGUUUUGUAUUUUAUAAAAAUGUAUAAGUUAUUUAAUAAAUGGUAUAGAAAGAUUAAGAAUUUUUUCUUUGAUUUAUGUAUUGGGGCACUUUUGAAUUUUUUCUAAUAUAUUAAAAUAUAAUUUACAUAUACUAAAAUUCACUAACUUUAGAUGAACGGUAUGGUGAGUUUUGAUUAAAACUUGCUUAUGUUACAUAAUCAUAUUACUCUCUCCAGAAUCACAAUAUGCAAUAAAACAUUCCCACCACUCCAAAAUCUCCCUCCCCUCUCCAUCCCCCUUUCUUUAUUUCUGAUUUUUUUUUCUCUUUCAAUUGUGGAUGUCUUAAUGUCCCAGUGUCAUUUGUUAAAAGUAAUUCAUCCUUCAUUGAAUUACAUUUUCACAUUCGUUAAAAUGUGUGGCUCUAUUUAGUCUAUUCCUUUUAAUUACAGAGUAAUAUUCCCUUAUAUGAAUAUACCAGAAUGUGUUUAUUUACUCACCUGUUGUUGGACAUUUGGUUAUUUCUAGUUUUUGACUAGUGUGAAUAAAGAUGCUGUAAACUUGCA